CUGGGAACCAUCUCGCAGUGACACUCAAACCCUGUAUGGAGUGGUCUGCAUGGUGAGGAACCUAGGUUUUCUGCCAAAGCCACAAGAGUGAGCCAUCCCAGAAGUGAAUCUUCUAGCUCCACGUGAUGACAGCCCCAGCUGAUAGCUUGGCAGCAAUUUCAUGAGAGAUCCUGAGCAGGAACCAGACAACUAAGCUGCUCCUGGAUUGAGCCUUAGAUAUCGUGAUGCACAUCUAAUUCCAGUGACUCAAGAGAUUGAAGCAGGAGGAUGGUAAGUUCCAGGCCAAGCUCAGCA
rnacentral:lncRNA from 1 species